AGAGUUUGAUCCUGGCUCAGAACGAACGCUGGCGGCAGGCUUAACACAUGCAAGUCGAACGCCCCGCAAGGGGAGUGGCAGACGGGUGAGUAACGCGUGGGAAUCUACCCAGUCCUUCGGAACAACACAGGGAAACUUGUGCUAAUACCGGAUACGCCCUACGGGGGAAAGAUUUAUCGCCGAGGGAUGAGCCCGCGUAGGAUUAGCUAGUUGGUGUGGUAAGAGCGCACCAAGGCGACGAUCCUUAGCUGGUCUGAGAGGAUGAUCAGCCACACUGGGACUGAGACACGGCCCAGACUCCUACGGGAGGCAGCAGUGGGGAAUAUUGGACAAUGGGCGAAAGCCUGAUCCAGCAAUGCCGCGUGAGUGAUGAAGGCCUUAGGGUUGUAAAGCUCUUUUACCCGGGAUGAUAAUGACAGUACCGGGAGAAUAAGCUCCGGCUAACUCCGUGCCAGCAGCCGCGGUAAUACGGAGGGAGCUAGCGUUAUUCGGAAUUACUGGGCGUAAAGCGCACGUAGGCGGCUUUGUAAGUAAGAGGUGAAAGCCCAGAGCUCAACUCUGGAAUUGCCUUUUAGACUGCAUCGCUUGAAUCAUGGAGAGGUCAGUGGAAUUCCGAGUGUAGAGGUGAAAUUCGUAGAUAUUCGGAAGAACACCAGUGGCGAAGGCGGCUGACUGGACAUGUAUUGACGCUGAGGUGCGAAAGCGUGGGGGGCAAACAGGAUUAGAUACCCUGGUAGUCC
rnacentral:rRNA from 1 species